CCCUUUACGUACGGGGACGAAAUUCCGAAAGGGAUGCUAAUACCGGAUGUGACGCUCCUAUCGCAUGACGGGAGCGUGAAAGAUGGCCUCUACAUGUAAGCUAUCGCUAAAGGAUGGGCCUGCGUCUGAUUAGCUAGUUGGUAGUGUAACGGACAACCAAGGCGAUGAUCAGUAGCCGGUCUGAGAGGAUGAACGGCCACAUUGGGACUGAGACACGGCCCAG
rnacentral:rRNA from 1 species